rnacentral:rRNA from 1 species
UGGGUUAUCCGUAAGGAGAAGCUCUUGAUCGAAGCCCGGUAAACGGCGGCCGUAACUAUAACGGUCCUAAGGUAGCGAAAUUCCUUGUCGGGUAAGUUCGACCUGCACGAAUGGCGUAAUGAUGGCCAGGCUGUCUCCACCCGAGACUCAGUGAAAUUGAACUCGCUGUGAAGAUGCAGUGUACCCGCGGCAAGACGGAAAGACCCGUGAACCUUUACUAUAGCUUGACACUGAACACUGGUCCUUGAUGUGUAGGAUAGGUGGGAGGCUUUGAAGUGUGGACGCCAGUCUGCAUGGAGCCAUCCUUGAAAUACCACCCUUUAAUGGCUGGUGUUCUAACGUGGGCCCCUAAUCGGGGUUGCGGACAGUGUCUGGUGGGUAGUUUGACUGGGGCGGUCUCCUCCUAAAGAGUAACGGAGGAGCACGAAGGUCAGCUAAUCCUGGUCGGACAUCAGGAGGUUAGUGCAAUGGCAUAAGCUGGCUUGACUGCGAGCGUGACGGCGCGAGCAGGUGCGAAAGCAGGUCAUAGUGAUCCGGUGGUUCUGAAUGGAAGGGCCAUCGCUCAACGGAUAAAAGGUACUCCGGGGAUAACAGGCUGAUACCGCCCAAGAGUUCAUAUCGACGGCGGUGUUUGGCACCUCGAUGUCGGCUCAUCACAUCCUGGGGCUGAAGUAGGUCCCAAGGGUAUGGCUGUUCGCCAUUUAAAGUGGUACGCGAGCUGGGUUUAGAACGUCGUGAGACAGUUCGGUCCCUAUCUGCCGUGGGCGCUGGAGAAUUGAGGGGGGCUGCUCCUAGUACGAGAGGACCGGAGUGGACGCAUCACUGGUGUUCGGGUUGUCAUGCCAAUGGCAUUGCCCGGUAGCUAAAUGCGGAAGAGAUAAGUGCUGAAAGCAUCUAAGCACGAAACUUGCCCCGAGAUGAGUUCUCCCUGACUCCUUGAGAGUCCUGAAGGAACGUUGAAGACGACGACGUUGAUAGGCCGGGUGUGUAAGCGCAGCGAUGCGUUGAGCUAACCGGUACUAAUGAACCGUGAGGCUUAACCUU